rnacentral:ncRNA from 1 species
GAGAGCCGUGUGCGGGAAAACCGCACGCACGGUUCGGAGGGAGGGGCGGGGAAACUUGUCCCUACCCCUAU